rnacentral:rRNA from 1 species
AGUGAACGCUGGCGGUAGGCCUAACACAUGCAAGUCGAACGGCAGCACAGUAAGAGCUUGCUCUUACGGGUGGCGAGUGGCGGACGGGUGAGGAAUACAUCGGAAUCUACUUUUUCGUGGGGGAUAACGUAGGGAAACUUACGCUAAUACCGCAUACGACCUACGGGUGAAAGCAGGGGAUCUUCGGACCUUGCGCGAUUGAAUGAGCCGAUGUCGGAUUAGCUAGUUGGCGGGGUAAAGGCCCACCAAGGCGACGAUCCGUAGCUGGUCUGAGAGGAUGAUCAGCCACACUGGAACUGAGACACGGCACAGACUCCUACGGGAGGCAGCAGUGGGGAAUAUUGGACAAUGGGCGCAAGCCUGAUCCAGACAUACAGCGUGGGUGAAGAAGGCCUUCGGGUUGUAAAGCCCUUUUGUUGGGAAAGAAAAGCAGCAGGUUGAUACCCCGCUGUUCUGACGGUACCCAAAGAAUAAGCACCGGCUAACUUCGUG